GACGAACGCUGGCGGCGUGCUUUAGACAUGCAAGUCGAACGAGAUCUUCGGAUCUAGUGGCGAACGGCGGAGUAAUACAUAAACAACGUGCCCUGAAGACUGGGAUAUACGGUCGAAAGGCCGAGCAAUACCGGAUGUGGCCGAGACUAGGCAUCUAGACUCGAUUAAAUGGUUUUUCGCUUCAGGAGCGGUUUAUGACUCAUCAGCUAGUUGGUAGGGUAAUGGCCUACCAAGGCUACGACGGGUAGGGGGUCUGAGAGGAUGAUCCCCCGAGUGGGACUGAGACACGGCCCACACACCUACGGGUGGCAGCAGUUUGGAAUCUUGCCCAAUGGGGGAAACCCUGAGGCAGCGACGCCGCGUGGAGGAUGAAGGAUUUAGGUCUGUAAACUCCUUUUGCCAGGAAAGACUUAGGACGGUACCUGGCGAAUAAGCUCCGGCUAACUACGUGCCAGCAGCCGCGGUAAU
rnacentral:rRNA from 1 species